CAAUAGCGUAUAUUAAUGUUGUUGCAGUUAAAAGCUCGUAGUUGGAUUUCUGGUGGGAGCGGCCGGUCCGCCGCAAGGUGUGUACUUGGUUGUCUCCUGUCAUCCUUGUGGGAACUGCUCUGGCAUUAAGUUGUCGGGGUUGGGGAACACAUCGUUUACUGUGAAAAAUUAGAGUGUUUAAAGCAGGCUUAUGCCGUUGAAUACAUUAGCAUGGAAUAAUAAGAUAAGACUUGGGUCAUUAUUUUGUUGGUUUGCGGAUCGAGGUAAUGAUUAAUAGGGAUAGUUGGGGGUAUUCAUAUUUAAUUGUCAGAGGUGAAAUUCUUGGAUUUAUGAAAGAUGAACUUAGGCGAAAGCAUUUACCAAGGAUGUUUUCAUUAAUCAAGAACGAAAGUUAGGGGAUCGAAGAUGAUCAGAUACCGU
rnacentral:rRNA from 1 species